UACAGAGGGUGCAAGCGUUGUUCGGAAUUAUUGGGCGUAAAGGGCGUGUAGGCGGUUUGUUAAGUCUUCUGUGAAAUCUACGGGCUUAGCCUGUAACGUGCAGAGGAAACUGACAGGCUUGAGUGUCGGAGAGGAUAGGGGAAUUCCCGGUGUAGAGGUGAAAUUCGUAGAGAUCGGGAGGAACACCAGUGGCGAAGGCGCCUAUCUGGCUGACAACUGACGCUGAGACUCGAAAGCAUGGGGAGCAAACAGG
rnacentral:rRNA from 1 species